ensembl:lncRNA
GACAAACAGCUCAGUUCUUUAGAUCUGACUUGUGUUGACUUUCAAAUAUCAAAGCUACUAGUGAGAUGACUGUCAGGAGCAGACAUUUUGAGUAAUAGCUAGUUCAUAGGCAGUAAAUGUGCAUAAGACUAGAUGGGGAUGUCCCCUGGUGUGGCACCAUGGGAGUUCUGCAUAGCUGACAUUAUCAUGAGAAACUGCAUGCAAUACUUGAUGUUCUGCUUUUCACCAAUUCUCAUCUUUAAAGUACAUCAUUUUUGGUAGUUUAUAAGUGGUGUCUUAAACUCUGUUUUAGUACCCACAGAUUUCUUGAAAUCUUUCUGUACCACCUUCCAUCAUUAGACUAGAACUUACUCCUGCAGUUUUCUCCUUUACUCAUGUUUAGUAGCUUCAGAGUAGUUGAUACAAGUAUCAUUCACCAUAUAAAAUACAGAACUGUCACUGGUACAGAAGAUAAAGCAGUUGAUCAUAAAGCAGUGGACUGUGUCAUGUCUUGACUCUUCAUCAUAGCAUUACACUUAAAAAAAAAUGAUUUGGUCUCUGGCCAUUGGCUUUUUUGAUUAUUAUUACUUUAUUAUUUAGAAUGAGGUCUAGAUGAGAAGGUAUUGUGAAAAGAACUAAAUGUCUCUGAGAUUCUUCUCUAGUCUUCUCAGUACAUCCUUCUUGUGCCUUCCUGAUGACUCAUCUGUUGGCUCUUACUCUACUUCAGUGUAGCAAUGUUAGUAGGUACCUGUCUACCUUUACUUGGUUUGGUAAAUGUGGGGGGAGUGGAGACUGCCUGCUAAUGUCUAACACAGGUGACACUGGAAAUGAGUUCUCACCCUAACAUCAUCCUAUGCUGCAAGUUCUGAAGCUCUUCAUGUUUCAGAAGGAGAUUUUGAAAUGCAGAAGGCAGACAGAAAAUGGUGGGUAAAUGGGGUGAUUUAAUAAAAGGAUGCUAAUAGCUACACCAGUAGGAUUCCUGGAUGGAGGGGUCUCAAGUACUGGCCCAGCGAGUAGAGAUAGAGAGUUGUAAAAUUAAUCUUCUCUCAGUUAUUUUAAAUUCUCUAUUUUUCUGACAAAGUUUUGUUCUUACUGUUAAAGAAAACUUAAUAUUCUGUAGCUUACCCAAAUCAUUUAAUGAAAGAACAGUUGAAUUCAUGAAGUCUGUUUUCUUGGCGUUGGGUGUUGUUUUUUUUAUUACACUUAAAUUGUUAGGGUGAUAUGAUGUACAAGUAGUUUAGGUGUAACUAUCCAAAUACAGAGUGCUUGGUUAUAGCCACAUGCUGGCAUCUUCAGACUUGUUAGAGUCUGGUUCAGGUUCUAUAAAUGCAUAGCAAACUACUCAAAGCUUUAAAUGCAAACAGCUGUAAUUUGGGUAGUCCUAAUAUUUUUUUGUGAUACAAAAGAUCAACAUUUCUGGUCAUAAUCAACCAAAUCAACCAUCAGAAAUUGCCAGAUUUUUGGGACUAAACUGAAAUUGAGGGAAGGCAUUUGUCCAUGGUUGAUUAAAAAUUAGUUGUUCAUAAUGGUUCUUAUAGAUAGCCACCAUCCUAAUGUGUGGUUUGUUUCACAAGCUUGGUAAAUGGCUCUAGAUAAGACUUAAUGGAAGAAAAGCUUGUUUUGGAGAUGAGUGUUCAGUGCAUAUCUGGGGUUCAGACUGGCUUUAAUUACUGCCAGGUGAGCUAGCUCAUUAGUGCUUGCUAGUACAUAGUCUGAACCAUAUUAUUAAUAAAGUAAUGUUUGAGAAUUCAAAAAGUAGCCUGUGAUAAACACUUCAGUGCUAGCCCUUGUAUACUGUAGUUACUUAGUCACUUUGAAAAGUGUGUGCUCUCAUGAGUUUGUAAAGAGAUUCAGACCUGCAGAUAAGUUGUGGUUGGUCAUGCUCUACUUAGGGUAAAAGUAUACAGACCUGUUUUCUGUGGGAAAAACUGUGAUGUUCAUAGCUGGCAUUCCAGGGAGGGGAGAUAAAAACAGGAAUGGAUAGGGAAAAGGAAGAAGAGCUAGAAAGCUCAGUUGAGGCAGAAGGCUACUGUAACUGGGGUUACUUAAUAAUAAUUCUCUACGCUUUGUAUGCUGCUGUAACUGACAAGAAUGCUAGAACAACUGGCCUGCUGUGGGGCACGUUAGCAGUUUGGAUAGAUUCAGAUACCUACAUCUUUUAAGAUUGUUUAUGACAGUACUCUUCCCUGCUCUAGAAAAGAAAUCUAGCAUGUUCCAGCUUAGUACUCUUUUCUAGUCACUUCUCCGGUUUUUUUAUGUGUUGUCUCUGCAGAGCUAUAGAACACAAACACUUAAAAGUACUGAGUCAUCAGUUAGUUGUGUUUUGAUAUGUACAUCUCUUUCCUGCUCAUCUUCCCCCACCCCUCUGAAUAUGUAAAGACCUGUACUUUUUGAGGAGAAAUCAACCUUUAUUCCCCAGUUGUAAAAUAAAUGGAAUAGAAAUUGAAAGGUUCUAAAUACUUGAAAAUAUCUACACAGUGAAUCCUAUCAAGCUCUUCAGGCUUAGGUUUUUUUGUCUUUCCAGUUGUUUGUUUUUUUCUCUUGAAGAUUAAAUGCAUCUUGAAGAGAGGCAUUUCUUGUUUCCAAGUGUCUCAUUCUCUAGUUAAUAUAGGAAUGGACACUGCUAGGAGGCUCAUCAGACUACCUCUAUUAGUGCACUAAAAACAUGAAAAUAAAAGGUUUAGUAAAAAAAAAUGACUUGGAAAAUGUGUGGAAUAAAAGAUAUUCAAAUUGCUAAGAGUAGCAGUGUCUUAAGAUUGUUCUGCUUGUCAGUGGAUUACCAGUCUCUAGAUAAAAAGCUGUUGUCUAGCAAAAGCUUUUGAAAACACAAAAACAGUGACUGAUACCUAAAUUGCGUUACUGGAAAUUGUAGGUGAGAUGGAGCUGUGUAGUUGGUGUUAGUUUAAAUAAUUCCUUUUACUACAUAGGAUAAUAAGCAAGGUUCUGCUCCCAGUUUUGCCGUGUGUUUUUGUGUGCAUCAGAAUUAUCAGAUAAAGUAUGUAAGCAAGUCAUGAAUAUGCAUACAUGUCUCUUCUGCAAUUCAUGAAAUCUCUUCAAAGUUGUUAAAAUUACGUUCUCAAGAUACGUGGCAAGAAGAUCUCUCUUAGUACUUUGUGCCCCCUUUCAACCAUCGCAUAACAAUGCUGGAAGUUCCUGUUGCAGUAUGAUAUCGCUCAGGAUGCUGAAGUUCCUUUUGCACAAGUUUUGCACUCCGAACUACUCAGUUCAUAAGGUGAUUCCAGUCUGAAAGUUGUUAGCAUUCUUCUGUAUGUCACAAAGUGUGUGCUCCUUGAAUCUGUCAGUUCCUUGCAGUAGAAAUACAGCCCUGCUCUUGCAGUAAUGGUCUGUGAGUGUUUCUGAAAGUGUUGGAUGGGAUUUCUGUGCAGGUGAGUAUGCUGUAAGAACUGACUAGGUCUUAGCUCAAAUAAGCUUGCUGACAUACUUGUAAGAAUAAAUGUAGAGAGAAUUUCAAGAGUUGUCAUGAGCAGCAAACAUACUAGAGGUCUUUGGAGUGUUUUGAACAGUCAGCCUCUUGAGCUUGGAAAUGCUCCUAAGAAAUGGACUGGAGAUUCUGAGAGGGAAAAUAAAGAAAGAUUGGUUCUAGUCUUCUUGGUCUGUAUGCUUUAAUAUCUGGAUGCCUGGGUAAGUAAAGUAGUCCUUUCCUUUUCUUCCUGUUUGCAUAUCCGUUUACAGAAAACAGGUAUCCCAGGUGAAAUCAAAUGGUAAAACUGAAUACAUCCUGAUGACCAGCAUUUAAGAGGCUGCUUCAUCAGGAUAGUGAAUGCAGGUUUUGCUCCGUGAGAAUUCAUGAGCAAUCUAAAAUACAGGUUGUCUGCACAGAUCAGUGAAAACACUUUGGCUGCCCAGGCCUGAGUCAGCUCCUGUUUGAGGCUGUUUUCAAUUAGGAUGUUUCAUUUUACCUUUAAUUUCCUAGCAACUCGUGUCUAAGGAUUGUGCCAAUGACUUUGACAACAGAUGCUCACUUCUUGUAUCUACUACUCGAGUUAUUUCUGUCUUUUUUUUUUUAAGAUCUGAUUAUUUAAAUUAAGCCGGUAAUAAAGUGCCCAGUCAGUAGAAAAAAAAAAACAGUUAUAUGUGGACUCAUAGAGGUACUGUCCUUGUGGUUUAGAAGAGUAAAAUAGAUUUAUUCAUAUCACAUUUGUGUGAAUAAACUAUAUCCAAAUAUGAGAGAAGGUUGAGAUGGAUAGAAGAAAAAACUUAGUGGUAGAGUAGGGGAGAGAAUGAAAGGGAAGAAAGAUAAUUAUUGAAAUGGAAGCUACAGGUAGGUGAUGUUAAGACUAAGCUUUCUUCACUGAAGUGUUGGACAGUUUGGAUUGAUAAGUGUUUUUCCUCCUCUGGAUCUCCAUAAUGCUGCAGAAAUUGUAUGUAUCGCAAGCCUAGUUUUGUAAACACUGAACUCAGGUUUUUUUCUUUGUUCUAUGAUUUUAGUGCAGGGAAACAGGAAGGGUGGAAAAAAAGUCUUCAGAGCUUUCUUUGCUGGAUUGGUGGACUAUUGUUAAUUCUUAACAUUAUACCUUUGCAUUAAGUACUGAAUGUGUGGAAAAGUGUUUAGGCUUCUCAAAGGUAUCUAGUCUUGCUCUGUUCACAUACUAUAUACAGAGGCUUUGGGGGCUUGUUUCUCUUUAAAGAGAAUAAAAACAUAAAAUGUUACAUAUUGAAUUAAAAUAGUUUUUCCUUUUGAUUCUCUUAAACACUGUAAGUCACUACAGGUCAAUAAUUCAAGUUACUUCCCUAAUUCACAUAAGUCAGUAACAAUAACUUUUUGUUAUGGAAGUUGAAAAUAAUGGUUAAAGAAGGUUAAAGAAUGCUCAGAGCCUUGGAGAAUGAAGUCUCUCCUGGAUUCCAACUGAAGAUGACUAUUCUGUACUGAAACAACUUUGUGAGUCUUACAGCCUUUUCCUGGCAGCGUAGCCCACUGUAACCCAUAUACUGAUUAGAUGCUUCUCUGGGUUGCUUCAGUGUAGUACUUGUCAACAUACCUGGACACAAACUGGAAUCUGAGGUAUACCCCUCAUCUACCAGCAUAAUUCCCUCCCCAGCUCAAGCAACAUCUGUGGCCUUGAUGGAUGUACUUCAUGCUCUGAUGUGGGAAUGGUUACCUGAGGAAAUAGUCUGUAGAAGCUAUGAACAAAAAUGUAUGUACCAAGGCAAUCAAUACUGACAUUUGGGUAAAUGAUGGAUCUCGAAGCUUCAUGGAGUUAUGUUUAAAAGUAAUCACUCCCAUUAAUGUACAGAGGUUGCUCCAAUAGUAAUGCCUUUUAUUUCUGUGGAAAGAACAGAUACAAAGAACAUAAUAGUGCAUUUGAUAGAGCAAACUUUCAGUUGCAAAACACUAUUUUUCAACAUAGUCACCACUGCUAGCUAUGUGUUUUUGCCAGUGAGGAACAAGAGCCUGUGUGCCGUGCUCUUAAAAAAUCUGCACCACUGGAGGUAAAUUACUGUUUCACAGCUGCUGUGACAGUGUCCUUGCUGAAACAUACCACCCACCAUCUGACUGGUCUCCAUUAAUGCUUGACAAGUGUUGGUAAACGUCACUAGGUGCUGAUUUUUCCACAUGGAGGAAUUCUGUUCCACAUGUUUGUUACAGACUUCCUUUCUGCUGCCAUCUGUCACAUGGCAACAAGAUGCAAUGAAUGUUCUUGGGAAGAUUCAACCUCUGCUCCCAUACCACCAGCAUCUACCUCUGGUGUUGUGGGCCAGUGUAAUAGAAUAAGAGGCAUUACUUCUGGAGCAGCCCUCAUAUUUUUUAAAUUAGGAGGAAAGAAGCUAUUCUUAAGAGAAAACAGUCUUUGUAGUUCUACUUGAUGAGUGCUUCUCUAGUACUGAAGAAUUCAAAGUUUGGAACAUAUGUUGAUUUGUAGAUUUGUUCCUCUUUGGAUAAGGAAGCUGUAGCACAUUGGGAAUUACUUUUAAAAAUCUGCAGAUUAAUAGGAUGUUAUGUUUUACCAUAUGUCCUUCUAGAAGAAGCUGGGGAGCCAACAGGAUGUUUGAUUAUCAUGAAUGACAUAUACAUGCUAAAAGGAAUAGACCAUGGAAGUUGGAUGAAAUUAAGCUGAGAAUUAAAAUAACCAACUGUUCUUCGUGUGGUGGUAUUGGCUUCCAGAAGUGGCAACAGUGAGAAACUUGUAUAUGGCUGAGAAUAGGAUGGCUAGAAAAAUGCUUUCCUGUGUAGUAUCUGCUACAAAUAUCAGGAAAUGGAGGAAAAUCAGAAAAUCAGGAAAGAAUCACUUGCUAAACAGAGUGUAUGGGAACUGUUGAGUCAUGGCCUGAACCACUGAUGGAGCACCUAGGGAAAAGACCUCGUCUGCAAGAACUUUUAAGUUAAGUUCAUGUCAUUAGAGAAAAUGUCAUUGGAGCAAUGGAACAUUCCUCCCUGAGUUUUCAUAUUCCGGGAAAAAUAAAGUGUAGAAUUAUUUUGUUGGGAAACUAGUUCAUGUAUUUUAACUGAAAUAUAAAUAUUAUGCCAUCCUAAACUAUUGUAUGUACUACAUAUUCUAAUUUUCCUUUGUCUUGUUUCUCAUUUGGAUUAUAUUAUUGUGUUCCCUUCUUUAAACUUCGGUAUCUUCUCAUGGGAACAGGACUGCAGGACAAUCAUGAGGACUGCAAACUUCAGAUAGGGUUUAGCUCUCACAGCUAAACUGGGGUAGAUAACAACUUGAAAAGAUGUAGGCCUGUUGUUAGAUUUGGCCUGGUUUGGCCUAUUACUUGACAAGGGGGUGAAGGGACCCAUGGACCCCCACCCUGGGAAAGGGAGGGGAAGGGAAAAGGUAGGAAAAUGGGCCUGGAUGAAUGAUAAUGGCAGCAAUGGCCUAAGGAAAAACUUGAUUUAUUAAAUACAGUAAUGGAAUGUGAGAUAACGCAAUGUAGUACAGUAUGAUUGGAAUUGAAGUUAAUAAAUCAAAUGAAAUGAGAGUUUCUGAAACCGAAGUCCAUACUGUAGGCAAAACUGCCAAGGAGCAAAGAGAAAGGUCUCAUGAGUCCCAGUCAGUUUUCUCUUACCCUCCAAAUGAAAAUGGAAAAAUGAAGGCUUCUGGGAGUUGUAGUUCAGCUCAGUAUUCUCUUCUGAGACGAGGAGACUGGAAAUACCAACAGUGCACAGAAUUGCAACAUCAACUCUUUAACUCCCAGUGCGCUACAUGAUGUUGUAGUGGAAUACUGAUCCACUGAUGUGAAAAACCAUCAAACCAUGGCACCAGUGAAAUCAUGAAUGCAGUGACCUAGGUCUAUGUCAGUGCAGUCUGUAGCAUUUAUUUUUCUAACUUUGUAUGAUUAAAUAUUAUGCACUGAUGAAAUUCUGUUGGGGCAAAGGUUGGGGUUGUUGCAGUGGGGGACAUCAGUUGCCACAUGCAAAUGAAAUUCCUUAGGAAGACCUGUUUUUUAAUUUCUUCUGUCUCCUGGAGGAGACAAAAAACAUAGAAACAAAAAUAUAGAAACAGCCCUGCUGAGCAGGAUUUGUUUAUACAUCACCCAAAAAUGGAGACAUUAUAUCUUAGUAAUAUUUCAUCAGACAAUAUACUCUAGCAAAAUGACACCAAGGAAAAUGUACCAUUCAACACAUGCUCACUUUUUUUUUUUGCUUUUAACAUUAAGAUUUAUAUAUAUUUUGUAUAGAUACAUAUUUUGAAGUCAUCCAGGAAUUGCACUGGCAGAGAAGGCUGGAAUACUUUUACAGGAGUACUAUUUACAGGAAUCGUGGAGACCUUCUAAGGUCUUUCCAGGUUUUGUUUGUGUUUUUUUUUUUUGUCCUUGCUAUUUCUAAGAAGCACACAUAAAUUCUGCUGAAACUUGAGCUUAAGCUUACAUGCCUGCAUUGUCUUUACAGUGCUCUGAAACACAAAGUGAUUAACAGUAGGCCAAACUCUCGAAGUGUUUACAUGCUGUAAUAUCUAAUUCCUGUUUGUACAAUGGCUUUGUAAGAGCCAAAGUAGAUAUUUGCUCACAUGUAAUAAAUAGCUUCCAUGAAAUGUAUGUUAAUGCUAUUGGCAAGCUAGGAAAUAAAUGCAGUUUUCGGAGAUGGUCUCUCAGGGUAUGCCUUGAGCUAGUCAGCUUACUAGCUGGGCGCAAUUCCAGCUCAUAAAAGACUUUGUUCCUAUGUUAGAAGCAAAUACAGUUUUUUUGUGUGGCAGUAAAUUGUGGUGUAAGAGUUGGUGGUACCUACGUAUCUCUGUAGGUAUGAUGUAUUUAUUUAAUAAGGAGGACCAAGGCCUAUCUCUAUACAUUAGUUUCAUUUAUUCACUAUGAAGUAGGGUAGUGUACUAGAAGUACAACCCAGGAAGCAGUUCACGGGCAGCAGAAUCAUGAAACCUAGUUGUACUGCAGAUGGUUUUGUUAUCCAAAGUAAUCCAACUUCCACUUGAGGCUUUUUAUGUAACUGAGGUGUUUCUGAUAUCCCAUACCUGUAACACCAAGGAAGUACCCGUUAACAAGUUAUUAGAGGCAGAUGGACAUUAACAUAAUUACGCAGUGUGAUUUUUAUGAAGCAUAAGGUUGGAAAUUGAUUUCUAGUGUUGUGAAUUUCAUUACCAAGUUCAUAAACGAUCUGUGUAGUGGUGCAAAUUGCUUAAUUUAUAAGGAGAGCACGUGAGGUAGUUAGGGAGGCUCACAGACUUUCAGUAGAAAGUUAGAGCUCUAUUUUGUUUGUUUAUAGUGUAGAAUGAGGUCUGUGCUAGCAGGUUAAGACAAAAUACUUCUUCAUCAGUAGGAGAAGACUGGCAUCCAGUUUUGACAUCUAGUACCUCAACUUGGUGAAAUUCUGCUCCCUCUCAGCCCAGUUGCUCCAGCUGUUACAGUACAUGUUGGGAUAACCUCAUAAAGACUUUGUGAAGCCCUGUCACUUUGCAAAUGCACUAAUAUCCUGCAUGUUCCCUCAGGAGAGAUGUGGAAAGUUUGAAUUAUUCAAACAAAUGCUCAUCUUGAAUGUGUUAGUGGUAUUAAAAUAAAUCAGGAUGUUUGCACCUGUUUUCUUUGAUACUUCCCUACUUGUGACCAAAUUAUUGCACUUUGGGCUGAACUUGAGAUUUAGUAGGUUCACUUCUAUGGAUUCAGG